CUCUGUCUGAGGGUCAUCAUGUUCAACCGAGACCAAGCAGCUCUUCUCUCCAUUCAGCUUUUAACUAUGUGCCAAAUCUUUGCAGAGAUUGAUCCAGUUGAGUACAGGAAUGUACUUGUGUCCAGAGGAGACUCCGUCACCUUCACCUGCAACAUAUCCAAGACAAACGCAACGCAAAUCAGAUGGACCAAAGAAGGAUUUGUUUUUGUGUUUACAAUCUCAAUGAAUCUUACUUUUUCAAAUUUCACCUCUGAGAGACUGAGAAUAGACAAGAACUUACCUUCAAAGAUGAACAUUUUUAACGUUCAGCAUGACGAUGCAGGACCCUACAGAUGUUAUUUAAAUGACUUAAAAGGUGAAAGGGCUAUUCAGUGGAAUUUAACGGUGUCUGGGGAACCUAAAGAAUUCAGUCCAUUGUGGUUCUUUCUAUACGUACUCCCAGCUGUUAUUGGAUUUCUUCUAUGUUGCAUCACUCCAGCUGUCUGUCUCU